ensembl:lncRNA
GGGCGGCUCUUUUAAAAUCUUUCACUUGGUCCAAUAUCACAGCUGAAAAAUACGAUCUUUGCAGCUUGGGGUGGACGGGCAUCUGAUGAUGGGAGGUUCUGAGCUCCUGGAACCUCCUCUGCUGGAGCAGGGCAAGAAGAAACCGCAGAGGAACAAAAGACCCCCUAAAAGUGGAGUGGAGAAGCCCCCCUCGCGCUACAAGAAGAGGAAGAAGGAGGGCGAGGAGAAGCAGGUGGUCUACUCCAGCACCGACAGCCUGAUGAGCCAGCUCAAGCAGCAGCUCACCCUGCUGCCUCUGAUGGAGCCUCUGAUCGGGGUGAACUUCGCCCACUUCCCGCCCUAUGGCAGCGGCCAGCUGAACGGGGAGAACCGCCUCUCUGGAACGUUUGGCAGCGCCUCGCUGGACGGGGGUGUCGGACUACUACUCGCAGCUCAUCUACAAGGUGAAGUUCGCUCCUGCGUCUCCGGGUUCCACCGGUGCCGUUAUAACCCCCUCGUUCUCUGUCCUGCAGCAGAACAAUCUGAGCAACCCUCCCACCCCUCCUGCCUCGCUGCCCCCG